GACCACUUCCGCUUCCUGUCAACAGAAGCCUUGGACUACUUUCACCGUCCUUCCUUCAUCCCUACCCCAUGGCAUCAGAAACCACAAGGAGAGUGGAUUAAAUCAACAUCAUACAGACACCAGGACAAGGCAGAGACUUGAAGAGAAGUGGUUCAUCUCAUUGGCCACCAGAUGACCUGAGGGGAAAUGAAAAGGACACAUUUAAUUAGUUGAUUUAAAAAUGAAGAGAACUGUGAAGGGCCCGAAGAUGCAACAUGCGUUUCCCAAAAGACCAUGCAGAGAGAACAUUCGCUUAUCGUGUCGUUGAGGCAUGUGUCAAUACUGAUCGGAUCAAAAGAAAGGCAGCGCUGCUCUCAGGCCAGCUUUCUCCAUUGUCAUCUUACCUUAAAGCUGCAGUAUGUAACUUUCUGGGCAACCAGACCAAGUUCACAUAGAAAUGGGUUAUAGAUCUGUCACUCAUUGAAAGCAAGCCUAAGAUGCGGUAGAUCUGUUAUGUGCGCUAUAUCUAUGCUUCCAGUUCUCAAGUUCAGUUUUAGUGUCUUGGUUUUGUACACCAGCUUCACAUUGAUAUGGAAUAGUUAUUUCAGAGCAGUACAAUGAUUCUCUACACAAUGACUGCUUGUUUUAUCCAACUGAAAUUAGGCAAACUAGAAAUUUAGGAACCAGGAAAUGGAGGAGCGAUUUUUCUGCACAUUGCACCUUUAACAUUAGAAUUAUUCCACAAUACUGAUGCUGUAUAAACUCCUAGAGAUUAUCACCUAUGGCUGCUAAUAUUGAGGCAGCUUACCCUAUAAUGGACUAAAUAAAACUCAAUUGAAUAAACAUAACUAAUUUAAA